rnacentral:tRNA from 1 species
UUAGUUGAAGCCAAAGAGAGGCAUAUCACUGUUAAUGAUAAUAAUGAAAUUAUUUCCAACUAAG